GUGCACGCUGGCGGUAGGCCUAACACCUGCAAGUCGCACGGCAGCACAGUAAGAGCUUGCUCUUACGGGUGGCGAGUGGCGGACGGGUGAGGAAUACAUCGGAAUCUACUUUUUCGUGGGGGAUAACGUAGGGAAACUUACGCUAAUACCGCAUACGACCUACGGGUGAAAGCAGGGGAUCUUCGGACCUUGCGCGAUUGAAUGAGCCGAUGUCGGAUUAGCUAGUUGGCGGGGUAAAGGCCCACCAAGGCGACGAUCCGUAGCUGGUCUGAGAGGAUGAUCAGCCACACUGGAACUGAGACACGGUCCAGACUCCUACGGGAGGCAGCAGUGGGGAAUAUUGGACAAUGGGCGCAAGCCUGAUCCAGCCAUACCGCGUGGGUGAAGAAGGCCUUCGGGUUGUAAAGCCCUUUUGUUGGGAAAGAAAAGCAGCAGGUUAAUACCCCGCUGUUCUGACGGUACCCAAAGAAUAAGCACCGGCUAACUUCGU
rnacentral:rRNA from 1 species